UGUCUGAGGCAAACAGUUCUCAGAAAAAGAGAGAGUUUCUUGAAUAUGAAUGUUUGGAUGGUUUUGACGCCCUCUAAGUCAGGGACAGACUGAAGCCCACACCCUGGAGGGCUCUGAAAGCCAAGUCUGGAUGGCCCUCCAGCUUCUGGGAUUCUUCCUCCCUUUGCUUCCCUUCUCACCACAUGGGCUCUGGAAUCACGACUGCUUGCCCCUGAGCCAUCUUCCCGGCCCUCUGGAUGCCUUUUCAUGAAGCAUGUCCAGUUCUGAACAAUGGAAUUGCUGUCUGGAACACUUAAAAGUUUCUUCAGGAACAAAUACAAAUGGCAAGAAUUCUCUGCUUUUCUUGAGCCCGCAUCCUGGAUAGAGGUGGGAGAGAUAAACACUGGAGGAUGUGGCAAAGCACUGUGGUGAUAUUGGAAAGAACAGGAAGUGCUCAGAAUCGGGAGGGAAGGCGACAUUUAAAUGAGUGAACACCAAGAAGUCUAGGAUGGGAGAGAAAAGAAUUAUGGCAGAAGAGGAAACUAGAAGGACACAGAGAUACUAAAGAGUUGCAACAGUAGGUGCAAGACCAUGGGACUUCCUGAUCCUAUAGAUCAUCUAGAACUUUCCAGCCUGAGGAAGUGUGCAAACAGCUAUUUAAAGGGGCAGCCAAGAUGUUAGCUCAGAGAUGACCUGCAAGAAUGGAACACCGUUCUCCAACUAUUAUAUACCUCAGAAGCCUAUUGUGUUGUGCUCCAAGGUAGUCUGUGAUAACAGAGCUCCAGGAAACAGGAAGUGGGAGCAGAAACAGACAUCAUGCUAAAAUUCCUGCUUGAUAAAUUGGAAAAUCCCAUCCCUGAAACUUUAGGUUUUGUGGUUUGGAGGUCAUAGUCUCCAGAACAAUACAGCUUCCACUGAGCAUCACAGAGAGACACUCAUUAAAAUUUAAAUCACUGCCACUCCAUUAUCUUAAGAGCCCCAUGCCCUGAGACCAGCAGACAAAGAAAAAGCCAUUGUCUUGGAUGGUAAGUUUACUACCAUGGAUAAACUGACCCAAAUCACCCAAACACUACAAUGAAAGAUGAGCAGAUAAUUUUAGAACCCAGCUGUCACACCAGUGUGUUUCUUUGCACUUCCCCUGCCCCGUUAUUCCAGUGGUAAUUGAGCAAACACAGAUGCCGCAGCCUGAAGAGAAUCUUGGAGUGAGGGGCUCAGACCCCUCCAGACUUGGGUCUGGCCAGUCUUCCAGAUAAGUUGCCUAUACCAGGACAGGAUUUAGCAAUGGAGGCAGGAACUUACAAAUGACGGUAAGAAAGACAUUGUUGAUGCCUCCUGGCCAGCUGCUGGGGAGAAGCAGUAGUUUUUCGGGUUACCUGCCCUUUGUGAAUUCAUCAAAGAAUUGAGCCCAAGCAGAAAUCCGGAAUGCCCUUCUCAGCUGAAUGAACACAGCAUGUUAGAUACAAGAGAUGCAAGGGAUGGGUGUCGAAAAUACUUUGCUGCCCAGGCCUGGUUCUCCUUGAGGCCAAAGGCAUUCAUUAAUUCUAUGAUUAUCAGAUAUGCUGGCUGUCAAAGGCCCACAGCUGGACUUCCUUGAGGAAAGACCCCUAUUGAAAGGAAAUUGCCUUGCCCAGGUUUUCCUCAUCUCUUCAAGACUAGCCAUCAUCCAAUGACUAGCCAGCGAUGUGGACAGGUAAGCACCUACUCCCUCUGAAUUAGUCCACGAUAGCUGAAGCCUCAGAGCCCUGCACGAACAGCUGGGACCUCGCUAGCAACAGGAUCUCGGCUUAGUGUCUCCUAUUCUCAGCUGUGCUUCACUGGCUCCUUUACUUGAUGUUGUUCAAGAACAUUCCCCAGUGAAUCUCCAGCAACACAAAUCUCCAUUUCUGAGUCUUUUCCCAGGCAGUGAGAAUGAAGACACCACACCUUGUCAAUCCUGGGAGAAGGUGAAGAGGUCAAAGCAAAGGCUUCCCCUUACACCCUUGAUUGUGUCUGAAGGUUUUUCUCCAAUAAAUCAUACCAUCCUA